UUAGGUUUCGACAAUCACUUCUCG
rnacentral:siRNA from 1 species